AUUGAACGCUGGCGGAAUGCUUUACACAUGCAAGUCGAACGGCAGCACGGGGCAACCUGGUGGCGAGUGGCGAACGGGUGAGUAAUACAUCGGAACGUGCCCAAUCGUGGGGGAUAACGUAGCGAAAGUUACGCUAAUACCGCAUACGAUCUACGGAUGAAAGCGGGGGAUCGCAAGACCUCGCGCGAGUGGAGCGGCCGAUGUCAGAUUAGGUAGUUGGUGGGGUAAAGGCUCACCAAGCCAACGAUCUGUAGCUGGUCUGAGAGGACGACCAGCCACACUGGAACUGAGACACGGUCCAGACUCCUACGGGAGGCAGCAGUGGGGAAUUUUGGACAAUGGGCGCAAGCCUGAUCCAGCCAUGCCGCGUGAGUGAAGAAGGCCUUCGGGUCGUAAAGCUCUGUCCUCAAGGAAGAUAAUGACGGUACUUGAGGAGGAAGCCCGGCUAACUACGUGCCAGCAGCGCGUAAGAGUCACGUCG
rnacentral:rRNA from 1 species